rnacentral:lncRNA from 1 species
CUAAGACAUGCUAUGUGUUAACAAAGGAGGGGACUGAACCAGAAUCUCAAGGCCAACGUCUUUGACAGACUGAAACGCUAGUGGAAUGGAAAUAUGGUAUUUCCUGAGAGAAAUGGUGAUGCAUUUAACAAUUGCUUUUGUGGAUUUUCAUGUCGCCUAGGAUCAGAGAUCUCUGAUUCAUUUGAGGUCAGAGGCAAGCUAACGUCCAUAGGGUAUUCAUCAGUUCUGGGAAUCAACUUUCUGACUUCAACCGAAAGGCCUGUUUUCAUCUGCUGUAAAAGAACAUUCUGCCACUCUCCAGGAUCACCCAAAACAGAUUGUGCUUUGUGGAGAUAUUCACCAUAUUCAACUGAACACUGUCAUGGAUGAUAG